rnacentral:rRNA from 1 species
UGCUAUACAUGCAAGUCGUACGCUUCUUUUUCCACCGGAGCUUGCUCCACCGGAAAAAGAAGAGUGGCGAACGGGUGAGUAACACGUGGGUAACCUGCCCAUCAGAAGGGGAUAACACUUGGAAACAGGUGCUAAUACCGUAUAACAAUCGAAACCGCAUGGUUUUGAUUUGAAAGGCGCUUUCGGGUGUCGCUGAUGGAUGGACCCGCGGUGCAUUAGCUAGUUGGUGAGGUAACGGCUCACCAAGGCUACGAUGCAUAGCCGACCUGAGAGGGUGAUCGGCCACAUUGGGACUGAGACACGGCCCAAACUCCUACGGGAGGCAGCAGUAGGGAAUCUUCGGCAAUGGACGAAAGUCUGACCGAGCAACGCCGCGUGAGUGAAGAAGGUUUUCGGAUCGUAAAACUCUGUUGUUAGAGAAGAACAAGGAUGAGAGUAACUGUUCAUCCCUUGACGGUAUCUAACCAGAAAGCCACGGCUAACUACGUGCCAGCAGCCGCGGUAAUACGUAGGUGGCAAGCGUUGUCCGGAUUUAUUGGGCGUAAAGCGAGCGCAGGCGGUUUCUUAAGUCUGAUGUGAAAGCCCCCGGCUCAACCGGGGAGGGUCAUUGGAAACUGGGAGACUUGAGUGCAGAAGAGGAGAGUGGAAUUCCAUGUGUAGCGGUGAAAUGCGUAGAUAUAUGGAGGAACACCAGUGGCGAAGGCGGCUCUCUGGUCUGUAACUGACGCUGAGGCUCGAAAGCGUGGGGAGCAAACAGGAUUAGAUACCCUGGUAGUCCACGCCGUAAACGAUGAGUGCUAAGUGUUGGAGGGUUUCCGCCCUUCAGUGCUGCAGCUAACGCAUUAAGCACUCCGCCUGGGGAGUACGACCGCAAGGUUGAAACUCAAAGGAAUUGACGGGGGCCCGCACAAGCGGUGGAGCAUGUGGUUUAAUUCGAAGCAACGCGAAGAACCUUACCAGGUCUUGACAUCCUUUGACCACUCUAGAGAUAGAGCUUCCCCUUCGGGGGCAAAGUGACAGUG